rnacentral:rRNA from 1 species
CGGGUGAGUAACGCGUGGGUAACCUGCCUUGUACUGGGGGACAACAGUUAGAAAUGACUGCUAAUACCGCAUAAGCGCACAGUAUCGCAUGAUACAGUGUGAAAAACUCCGGUGGUACAAGAUGGACCCGCGUCUGAUUAGCUAGUUGGUGGGGUAACGGCCUACCAAGCCGACGAUCAGUAGCCGACCUGAGAGGGUGACCGGCCACAUUGGGACUGAGACACGGCCCAG